rnacentral:rRNA from 1 species
GUUAGGAAUAUUGGACAAUGGGCGCAAGCCUGAUCCAGCCAUGCCGCGUGAACGAUGAAGGCCUUCGGGUUGUAAAGUUCUUUAGCCGAUGAUUAUAAUGACUGUAGUCGGAUAAUAAGCCCCGGCUAACUUCGUGCCAGCAGCCGCGGUAAUACGAAGGGGGCGAGCGUUAUUCGGAAUCACUGGGCGUAAAGCGUGCGUAGGCGGUCUCGUAAGUUAGGAGUGAAAGCCCAGGGCUCAACCUUGGAAUUGCUCUUAAUACUGCAAGGCUAGAAUCUCGGAGAGGAUAGCGGAAUUUCCAGUGUAGCAGUGAAAUGCGUAGAUAUUGGAAGGAACACCAGUGGCGUAAGCGGCUAUCUGGACGAGUAUUGACGCUGAGGCACGAAAGCGUGGGGAUCAAACAGGAUUAGAAACCCGGGUAGUCC